AGUGAACGCUGGCGGCAGGCCUAACACAUGCAAGUCGAGCGGUAGCAUGGUUUGUAGCAAUACAAACUGAUGACGAGCGGCGGACGGGUGAGGAACACGUAGGAACUUGCCUUUUAGAGGGGGAUAACUAAGGGAAACUUUAGCUAAUACCGCGUAAUCUCGAGAGAGUAAAGCUGCCCGCAAGGGUGGCGCUAAAAGAG
rnacentral:rRNA from 1 species